CGGCCCCUACGGGGCGCAGCAGUGAGGAAUAUUGGUCAAUGGUCGGGAGACUGAACCAGCCACGCCGCGUGAGGGAUGAAGGUACAGAGUAUCGUAAACCUCUUUUGUCAGGGAACAAAGGCGGGGACGUGUCCCCGGAUGAGUGUACCUGAAGAAAAAGCAUCGGCUAACUCCGUGCCAGCAGCCGCGGUAAUACGGAGGAUGCGAGCGUUAUCCGGAUUUAUUGGGUUUAAAGGGUGCGUAGGCGGAAGGUUAAGUCAGCGGUCAAAUGUCGGUGCUCAACACCGGCCUGCCGUUGAAACUGG
rnacentral:rRNA from 1 species